rnacentral:rRNA from 1 species
AUACGGAGGGUGCAAGCGUUACUCGGAAUUACUGGGCGUAAAGCGCGCGUAGGCGGCUACUUAAGUCAGAUGUGAAAUCCCCGGGCUCAACCUGGGAACUGCAUCUGAUACUGGGUAGCUAGAGUUUAGGAGAGGGAAGUAGAAUUUCAGGUGUAGCGGUGAAAUGCAUAGAGAUCUGAAGGAAUACCAGUGGCGAAGGCGGCUUCCUGGCCUAAAACUGACGCUGAGGUGCGAAAGCGUGGGUAGCAAACGGGAUUAGAAACCCUAGUAGUCC